rnacentral:rRNA from 1 species
AACGAACGCUGGCGGCAGGCUUAACACAUGCAAGUCGAGCGCCCCGCAAGGGGAGCGGCAGACGGGUGAGUAACGCGUGGGAAUCUACCGUGCCCUACGGAAUAGCUCCGGGAAACUGGAAUUAAUACCGUAUACGCCCUACGGGGGAAAGAUUUAUCGGGGUAUGAUGAGCCCGCGUUGGAUUAGCUAGUCGGUGGGGUAAAGGCCUACCAAGGCGACGAUCCAUAGCUGGUCUGAGAGGAUGAUCAGCCACAUUGGGACUGAGACACGGCCCAAACUCCUACGGGAGGCAGCAGUGGGGAAUAUUGGACAAUGGGCGCAAGCCUGAUCCAGCCAUGCCGCGUGAGUGAUGAAGGUCUUAGGAUUGUAAAGCUCUUUCACCGGUGAAGAUAAUGACGGUAACCGGAGAAGAAGCCCCGGCUAACUUCGUGCCAGCCGCCGCGGUAAGAC